rnacentral:rRNA from 1 species
AUGAACGCUGGCGGCGUGCCUAAUACAUGCCAGUCGAGCGAACGGACGAGAAGCUUGCUUCUCUGAUGUUAGCGGCGGCCGGGUGAGUAACACGUGGAUAACCUACCUAUAAGACUGGGAUAACUUCGGGAAACCGGAGCUAAUACCGGAUAAUAUUUUGAACCGCAUGGUUCAAAAGUGAAAGACGGUCUUGCUGUCACUUAUAGAUGGAUCCGCGCUGCAUUAGCUAGUUGGUAAGGUAACGGCUUACCAAGGCAACGAUGCAUAGCCGACCUGAGAGGGUGAUCGGCCACACUGGAACUGAGACACGGUCCAGACUCCUACGGGAGGCAGCAGUAGGGAAUCUUCCGCAAUGGGCGAAAGCCUGACGGAGCAACGCCGCGUGAGUGAUGAAGGUCUUCGGAUCGUAAAACUCUGUUAUUAGGGAAGAACAUAUGUGUAAGUAACUGUGCACAUCUUGACGGUACCUAAUCAGAAAGCCACGGCUAACUACGUG